rnacentral:rRNA from 1 species
GAUGAACGCUGGCGGCGUGCCUAAUACAUGCAAGUCGAGCGAACGGACGAGAAGCUUGCUUCUCUGAUGUUAGCGGCGGACGGGUGAGUAACACGUGGAUAACCUACCUAUAAGACUGGGAUAACUUCGGGAAACCGGAGCUAAUACCGGAUAAUAUUUUGAACCGCAUGGUUCAAAAGUGAAAGACGGUCUUGCUGUCACUUAUAGAUGGAUCCGCGCUGCAUUAGCUAGUUGGUAAGGUAACGGCUUACCAAGGCAACGAUGCAUAGCCGACCUGAGAGGGUGAUAGGCCAAGCUGGAACUUAGACACGGUCCAGACCCCUACGGGAGGGAGCAGUAGGGAAUCUUCCGCAAUGGGCGAAAGCAUGACGGAGCAACGUCGCGUGAGUGAUGAAGGUCUUCGGAUCGUAAAACACUGUUAUUAGGGAAGAACAUAUGUGUAAGUAACUGUGCACAUCUUGGCGGUACCUAAUCAGAAAGCCACGGCUAACUACGUG